AUUGAGCGCUGGCGGCAGGCCUAACACAUGCAAGUCGAACGGUAACAGGAAGAAGCUUGCUUCUUUGCUGACGAGUGGCGGACGGGUGAGUAAUGUCUGGGAAACUGCCUGAUGGAGGGGGAUAACUACUGGAAACGGUAGCUAAUACCGCAUAACGUCGCAAGACCAAAGAGGGGGACCUUCGGGCCUCUUGCCAUCGGAUGUGCCCAGAUGGGAUUAGCUAGUAGGUGGGGUAACGGCUCACCUAGGCGACGAUCCCUAGCUGGUCUGAGAGGAUGACCAGCCACACUGGAACUGAGACACGGUCCAGACUCCUACGGGAGGCAGCAGUGGGGAAUAUUGCACAAUGGGCGCAAGCCUGAUGCAGCCAUGCCGCGUGUAUGAAGAAGGCCUUCGGGUUGUAAAGUACUUUCAGCGGGGAGGAAGGGAGUAAAGUUAAUACCUUUGCUCAUUGACGUACCCGCAGAA
rnacentral:rRNA from 1 species